UACGAAGGGGGGCUAGCGUUGCUCGGAAUCACUGGGCGUAAAGGGUGCGUAGGCGGGUCUUUUAAGUCAGGGGUGAAAUCCUGGAGCUCAACUCCAGAACUGCCUUUGAUACUGAGGAUCUUGAGUACGGGAGAGGUGAGUGGAACUGCGAGUGUAGAGGUGAAAUUCGUAGAUAUUAGGAAGAACACCAGUGGCGAAGG
rnacentral:rRNA from 1 species